rnacentral:rRNA from 1 species
AUGCUGAUUCGCACGUACCAAAUUAACCAAACCAUUUCAUCAAACCACAUGCAAUACAAUGCCUGGGGCAUUCGUGACUGUGAUGGCUAUGGCUGCUUCGUGUUUGAGAAAGAUCCCAGCUUUGUUGGGCCAGGCGUAUUCAACUGGAGGCGGGUUUACAACCUCAGCGACCACUCCAUGUUCCUCGGGCUCAAUUAUCCGAUCAUCCAACCAAUUAUCGAUCAUAUCACCGGCGAUGAUUACCGUGCUAUGCAACUUCCAUUUGCCAGGGGAACUGUGUUUACACAUCAUACCAUGAGUUUCAUGAAUCACCAUAUCCAGAGAUUCGUCGACACAGCUUGUUGCCAGAUAAUCUUCAGUGUGAGAAAGGCAUCAAGCUUCCAUGCGAUGAAUGGCUUUUGCAAACCUGACAUGCGGCUAUGUGGUUCAUGCCAACAACAAAUAUGCACAACUUGA